AUUGAACGCUGGCGGAAUGCUUUACACAUGCAAGUCGAACGGUAGAGGGGGCAACCCCUUGAGAGUGGCGAACGGGUGAGUAAUACAUCGGAACACGCCCAGUCGUGGGGGAUAACGUAGCGAAAGCUACGCUAAUACCGCAUACGAUCUAUGGAUGAAAGCGGGGGACCGAAAGGCCUCGCGCGAUUGGAGUGGCCGAUGGCAGAUUAGGUAGUUGGGGGGGUAAAGGCCUACCAAGCCUGCGAUCUGUAGCUGGUCUGAGAGGACGACCAACCACACUGGGACUGAGCCACGGCCCAGACUCCUACGGGAGGCAGCAGUGGGGAAUUUUGGACAAUGGGCGCAAGCCUGAUCCAGCCAUUCCGCGUGCAGGAUGAAGGCCCUCGGGUUGUAAACUGCUUUUGUACGGAACGAAAAGGUGGCCUCUAAUACAGGUUGCUGAUGACGGUACCGUAAGAAUAAGCACCGGCUAACUACGUGCCAGCCGCCGCAGUAA
rnacentral:rRNA from 1 species